UGGCCUGUACGUUCACUGGAUUGUACUAUCGAGCUACCCAUUGUUGUUCAAAGAUUCGUGCGCCCGCAUGUCAAGUCAGAGGAGCGGUCCGGAACAUCUCCAAAUCAACUAGAAAAAAAAUAACAACAUCUCCAAAUCAACUGGAAAAAAUUCCCUCACCAUCCGGAUCCAUAAUAACAACAUCUCCAAAUCAACUGGAAAAAAUUCCUUCACCAUUCGGAUCCACAAUAACAACAUCUCCAAAUCAACUGGAAAAAAAUCCACAGGAACAAAAACUACAAGAAAUAGCACCAUGGCUUCCGCUCCGCCCUCUCCCUCGCCAUCGACGGCUUUAGCGAUGGGAUCUGGUGACAGAAGUUCGCCCAUGCUCCAUGUUGCUGCUGCUGAAGCAUUCGAGCCAUGGGCUUCUUUCUGUGGGCCAAAGAGUUCUUCC
rnacentral:lncRNA from 1 species